rnacentral:rRNA from 1 species
AUUGAACGCUGGCGGCAGGCCUAACACAUGCAAGUCGAACGGUAGCACAGAGAGGUUGCUCUCGGGUGACGAGUGGCGGACGGGUGAGUAAUGUCUGGGAAACUGCCUGAUGGAGGGGGAUAACUACUGGAAACGGUAGCUAAUACCGCAUAACGUCGCAAGACCAAAGAGGGGGACCUUCGGGCCUCUUGCCAUCAGAUGUGCCCAGAUGGGAUUAGCUAGUAGGUGGGGUAACGGCUCACCUAGGCGACGAUCCCUAGCUGGUCUGAGAGGAUGACCAGCCACACUGGAACUGAGACACGGUCCAGACUCCUACGGGAGGCAGCAGUGGGGAAUAUUGCACAAUGGGCGCAAGCCUGAUGCAGCCAUGCCGCGUGUAUGAAGAAGGCCUUCGGGUUGUAAAGUACUUUCAGCGGGGAGGAAGGUGUUGUGGUUAAUAACCACAGCAAUUGACGUUACCCGCAGAAGAAGCACCGGCUAACUCCGUGCCAGCCGCCGCGGUAAUAC